GAUGAACGCUGGCGGCGUGCCUAAUACAUGCAAGUCGAGCGAACGGACGAGAAGCUUGCUUCUCUGAUGUUAGCGGCGGACGGGUGAGUAACACGUGGAUAACCUACCUAUAAGACUGGGAUAACUUCGGGAAACCGGAGCUAAUACCGGAUAAUAUUUUGAACCGCAUGGUUCAAAAGUGAAAGGCGGUCUUGCUGUCACUUAUAGAUGGAUCCGCGCUUCAUUAGCUAGUUGGUAAGGUAACGGCUUACCAAGGCAACGAUGCAUAGACGACCUGAGAGGGUGAUCGGCCACACUGGAACUGAGACACGGUCCAGACUACUACGGGAGGCAGCAGUAGGGAAUCUUCCGCAAUGGGCGAAAGCCUGACGGAGCAACGCCGCGUGAGUGAUGAAGGUCUUCGGAUCGUAAAACUCUGUUAUGAGGGAAGAACAUAUGUGUAAGUAACUGUGCACAUAUUGACGGUACCUACACAGAAAGCCACGGCUAACUACGUG
rnacentral:rRNA from 1 species